rnacentral:rRNA from 1 species
UACGUAGGCAGCGAGCGUUGUUCGGAGUUACUGGGCGUAAAGAGUGCGUAGGCGGUUUUCUAAGUUUGGUGUGAAAUCUCCCGGCUCAACUGGGAGGGUGCGCCGAAGACUGGAAGGCUUGAGUAUGGGAGAGGUAAGCGGAAUUCCUGGUGUAGCGGUGAAAUGCGUAGAUAUCGGGUGGAACACCGUGUGGCGAAGGCGGCCAUCGUGGACGUUCACUGACGCUGAGACGCGAAAGCGUGGGUAGCAAACGAGGAAUUGAUGAUAC